UACAGAGACUGCAAGCGUUGUUCGGAUUCAUUGGGCGUAAAGGGUCCGUAGGCGGUCGGUUAAGUCGGAUGUGAAAUCUCGUGGCCUAACCACGAGCGGUCAUUCGAAACUAAUCGGCUAGAGGGCUGGAGAGGAGACUGGAAUUGUCGGUGUAGCGGUGAAAUGCGUUGAUAUCGGAAGGAACGCCGGUGGCGAAAGCGCACGACUGGAUCUCUUCUGACGCUGAGGCGCGAAAGCCAGGGGAGCAAACGGG
rnacentral:rRNA from 1 species